CAGUUGGGGACAGCAGCAACAGAGACAGCGACAGCAACGGCAGCAGCGGAGGCGGCGGUGAAGGCCGAGUCCUAGGCGCCCGCCCACGGAUCAUAGCCCCAGGAAAACUUAUGGAUUCCAUCCAAACUGAUAAAAAUCAGAUUUGAUAGAGGAAGACCCUCUGAAGAUCUUGACUGCAGACAGGAAGAAAGAAAUCUAGAAGACCAAAUAGGAUAGAAUGGAAGGCCAGAAGAGCAGCCCUGACCGGAUUCACUUUCGAGGAUGCUGGGAUGCUGAAACCUGCUUUUCCAGCUCCCUGAUCAAUAUUGCCUCAAACUAAUGCUGUUCCAGAGACUUGCUUCCAGAACAGCUUCAGAAAGGGCUGCUAAUCCCAGAUGACCUUGUUUCAUCCAGUCUUUCAGAUUGUUCUAAUCGGGACUUCAGUUAAGCCCUGAACUUUCUCCAUUCAAGACUUCAGUUAAUCAACCUAUAGAGACUGGACAACAAUAAUGCCAGCUAGCUUUCUUUUGACUUAACCAUUUUUCCAGUUUUCUCUUGGGCCCCGAAACUGGAACUCUUUUCCCCAAUUCAGCAAGAAGAAACUAUAAGAAGACUGUCAUCCCAAUCACUUAAGUUGGGGUGGAUAGUUUUGAUCAUUUUAUGAAUUAUAGAUAUAUUGUCAUUUUAAGGGAUGAUUACAAAUAAUUAUGGUCUUAGACAGGGAGGAAAUUAUAUAGGGAGCUGAGACUCAGAGAUCGCUAUAUCUCUUUUCCUUUUCUCUAUCCUUCUUUCUUUCUUAAAUAAAGAUGAAGAGGUUGAGAAGAAAAAGGGGGCAUAUAGAAGUAUUGUAAGAAAUUAGACAAAUAGGGGUAGAUUAUUAAAUCUAUUCUUAAAUAAAAACAUUUUACAGUUUGAUACUAAUUUAAUUAAUUAUAAUAAAAUGUUCUUAAGGUUAUUCAGAUAGUUAAUAGCUAAGAAUAACGAAUGUCUAGUUGGUCUUCAAAGCCUCAUAGAUACACAGAAUAUGGCAUUUAAAAUUAUUUCAUUAUUAAAAGAUCUUUUGACUAUGCGACAGGUCUGUUCCUGACAGUACCCCCAUUCCACUUCGGUGAAGGUGAUGAGCAUCAAUAAUAACCUCCAUAUGGAGUUGCUCCAAUUGUAGCAAGUUAGCCACUGGGCAAAGAAAAUACCUAUGCUUCAACUACAGACAAAUCUGUUCAGAAAGGACAAAUGGAUGAAGAGCCAACCAAGCUCUGCCUAGACAGGAAUCUAAAUUAUCGUAUGGAGCCUGGUAGCAUUAUUGUGAAACUUCCCUUCUACACAGCCCAGACAGAACAGAGUGUUGAAAGCCUCUGAAUGAAAUCCUCUAGAAUCGAGUCUAAAAGAGAGUUCUUCUCAUAGUACCUCAGUGCACAUUUCUUAUCCAUAAUUCCUGGGUUUUCUAUUGCACUGAAGGCACAGGAUGAUCACCCGUAUGAUACUACCCUAGUCUGAGAACUGGUCCACUCCUGCAUAGAAAGCAUGCACCAAAAUUCAGAUAGUUGAAGACACGGGGAAGAUGGAUGACUUUCAGACAAUCUAAUGACUUGGGAUCUGGAUGAAACUGGGAAUUUUGUUUGAAAGUAAAGACAAGCUAUGGGAAAGCACGUCUAUUAUUCUUCAUGAAUAUUUAACCUCAACUCGAAGUUACCCUUCGCCAUCUUGAACUGCUUCACUGGCUAUUCCCUAAAAUUCAUCUUCCAAAGGCAACCAUCUCUUAGAUUCUAACUGUUGCCCACCACUUGUGCUGAUCUGUUCCUGGGGGAGGCAGACACUGUUGUCCAAAUAGAAUGUGCUCCUGAUCUUGUCCUAAAAAGGCCCACACUAACAGCUGGGCUGGAAGCAUUGCUGACAGUAGCUAAAAUGCUUAUCCCUCACAGAAAAAUGGGAAGUAUUAUCCAAAUAUAACUGAGCAAAUUUCUCUGAAAUAUUGAUGAAAAUACAGUCAUGUUUCAACUUCUAAGAAAAAAUAGAAAUGAACCCUGGCUUACUGAAACACACAAUUUCAAUGUACUAAUCAGAAGGAUUUUGGUUAUUGUUUUCAAUUCAAAAUACUCGAAUACUUUAACAUUGUUUAAUAGGCUUUUCUUUCUGAGAUUAAUUGGUUGAAAAAAUGUCAUUUCAAAACUUAGUUGCAGUUUAUAAUAACUAAAUUUCAGAAGAACAAGUGACUUUUUUCUUGAAAAUGAAUAAAGAAUAAUUAUGAUUUUUAAAAAAUU
ensembl:antisense